rnacentral:siRNA from 1 species
CAAAUACCCAUGGGGAAGGGUG